rnacentral:rRNA from 1 species
AACGAACGCUGGCGGCAUGCCUAACACAUGCAAGUCGAACGAUGCCUUCGGGCAUAGUGGCGCACGGGUGCGUAACGCGUGGGAAUCUGCCCUUGGCUUCGGAAUAACAGUUAGAAAUGACUGCUAAUACCGGAUGAUGUCUUCGGACCAAAGAUUUAUCGGCCAGGGAUGAGCCCGCGUAGGAUUAGGUAGUUGGUGGGGUAAAGGCCUACCAAGCCGACGAUCCUUAGCUGGUCUGAGAGGAUGAUCAGCCACACUGGGACUGAGACACGGCCCAGACUCCUACGGGAGGCAGCAGUGGGGAAUAUUGGACAAUGGGGGGAACCCUGAUCCAGCAAUGCCGCGUGAGUGAUGAAGGCCUUAGGGUUGUAAAGCUCUUUUACCAGGGAUGAUAAUGACAGUACCUGGAGAAUAAGCUCCGGCUAACUCCGUGCCAGCCGCCGCUGUAACAC